rnacentral:rRNA from 1 species
GAGUUUGAUCGUGGCUCAGAUUGAACGCUGGCGGCAGGCCUAACACAUGCAAGUCGAGCGGAUGAAGGGAGCUUGCUCCUGGAUUCAGCGGCGGACGGGUGAGUAAUGCCUAGGAAUCUGCCUGGUAGUGGGGGAUAACGUCCGGAAACGGGCGCUAAUACCGCAUACGUCCUGAGGGAGAAAGUGGGGGAUCUUCGGACCUCACGCUAUCAGAUGAGCCUAGGUCGGAUUAGCUAGUUGGUGGGGUAAAGGCCUACCAAGGCGACGAUCCGUAACUGGUCUGAGAGGAUGAUCAGUCACACUGGAACUGAGACACGGUCCAGACUCCUACGGGAGGCAGCAGUGGGGAAUAUUGGACGAUGGGCGAAAGCCUGAUCCAGCCAUGCCGCGUGUGUGAAGAAGGUCUUCGGAUUGUAAAGCACUUUAAGUUGGGAGGAAGGGCAGUAAGUUAAUACCUUGCUGUUUUGACGUUACCAACAGAAUAAGCACCGGCUAACUUCGUGCCAGCAGCCGCCGU